GUGAGGAAUUUUCCGCAAUGGGCGAAAGCCUGACGGAGCAAUGCCGCGUGAAGGAUGAAGGCCUAUGGGUUGUAAACUUCUUUUCUCAGAAAAGAAUUAUGACGGUAUCUGAGGAAUAAGCAUCGGCUAACUCUGUGCCAGCAGCCGCGGUAAGACAGAGGAUGCAAGCGUUAUCCGGAAUGAUUGGGCGUAAAGCGUCUGUAGGUUGUUUAAAAAGUAUUCUGUCAAAGAUUAGGGCUUAACCCUAGAUAGGCAGAAUAAACUUUUAAGCUAGAGUUUGGUAGAGGCAGAGAGAAUUCCCGGUGGAGCGGUGAAAUGCGUAGAUAUCGGGAGGAACACCAAAGGCGAAGGCACUCUGCUGGGCCAAUACUAACACUGAGAGACGAAAGCGAGGGGAGCAAAUGGGAUUAGAUACCCCGGUAGUCC
rnacentral:rRNA from 1 species